rnacentral:rRNA from 1 species
UACAGAGGGUGCGAGCGUUGUCCGGAAUCACUGGGCGUAAAGGGCGCGUAGGUGGCCCGACAAGUCUGUGGUGAAAGCUCGACGCUCAACGUCGAGUCGGCCAUAGAUACUGUUGGGCUGGAGCACUGUAGAGGCUCAUGGAAUUCCGGGUGUAGCGGUGGAAUGCGUAGAGAUCCGGAAGAACACCGGUGGCGAAGGCGGGUCGAGCUGGGCAGUA